rnacentral:rRNA from 1 species
UAGGGAAUCUUCGGCAAUGGGGGGAACCCUGACCGAGCAACGCCGCGUGCGUGAAGAAGGUUUUCGGAUCGUAAAGCUCUGUUGUAAGAGAAGAACGGGUGUGAGAGUGGAAAGUUCACACUGUGACGGUAUCUUACCAGAAAGGGACGGCUAACUACGUGCCAGCAGCCGCGGUAAUACGUAGGUCCCGAUCGUUGUCCGGAUUUAUUGGGCGUAAAGCGAGCGCAGGCGGUUAGAUAAGUCUGAAGUUAAAGGCUGUGGCUUAACCAUAGUAUGCUUUGGAAACUGUUUAACUUGAGUGCAGAAGGGGAGAGUGGAAUUCCAUGUGUAGCGGUGAAAUGCGUAGAUAUAUGGAGGAACACCGGUGGCGAAAGCGGCUCUCUGGUCUGUAACUGACGCUGAGGCUCGAAAGCGUGGGGAGCAAACA